rnacentral:rRNA from 1 species
GGGAGCUUGCUCCCGGAUGUUAGCGGCGGACGGGUGAGUAACACGUGGGUAACCUGCCUGUAAGACUGGGAUAACUCCGGGAAACCGGAGCUAAUACCGGAUAGUUCCUUGAACCGCAUGGUUCAAGGAUGAAAGACGGUUUCGGCUGUCACUUACAGAUGGACCCGCGGCGCAUUAGCUAGUUGGUGGGGUAAUGGCUCACCAAGGCGACGAUGCGUAGCCGACCUGAGAGGGUGAUCGGCCACACUGGGACUGAGACACGGCCCAGACUCCUACGGGAGGCAGCAGUAGGGAAUCUUCCGCAAUGGACGAAAGUCUGACGGAGCAACGCCGCGUGAGUGAUGAAGGUUUUCGGAUCGUAAAGCUCUGUUGUUAGGGAAGAACAAGUGCGAGAGUAACUGCUCGCACCUUGACGGUACCUAACCAGAAAGCCACGGCUAACUACGUGCCAGCAGCCGCGGUAAUACGUAGGUGGCAAGCGUUGUCCGGAAUUAUUGGGCGUAAAGGGCUCGCAGGCGGUUUCUUAAGUCUGAUGUGAAAGCCCCCGGCUCAACCGGGGAGGGUCAUUGGAAACUGGGAAACUUGAGUGCAGAAGAGGAGAGUGGAAUUCCACGUGUAGCGGUGAAAUGCGUAGAGAUGUGGAGGAACACCAGUGGCGAAGGCGACUCUCUGGUCUGUAACUGACGCUGAGGAGCGAAAGCGUGGGGGAGCGAACAGGAUUAGAUACCCUGGUAGUCCACGCCGUAGACGAUGAGUGCUAAGUGUUAGGGGGUUUCCGCCCCUUAGUGCUGCAGCUAACGCAUUAAGGCACUCCGGCCUGGGGAGUACGGUCGCAAGACUGAACUCAAGGAAUUUGACGGGGCCCGCACAGCGUGGAGCAUGUGAUUAGUUUCGAGCACGCGAAGAACCUU